rnacentral:rRNA from 1 species
CGAGGGCUCAAGCGUUAAUCAGAAUCACUGGGCUUAAAGCGUGCGUAGGCGGGUCUGCAAGUGCCUUGUGAAAUCCCACGGCUUAACCGUGGAACUGCUCGGUAGACUGCAGAUCUUGAGGUCGGUAGAGGCUGUCGGAACUCUAGGUGUAGCGGUGAAAUGUGUAGAUAUCUAGAGGAACGCCCAAGGUGAAGACAGGCAGCUGGGCCGAAUCUGACGCUGAGGCACGAAAGCGUGGGUAGCGAACGGGAUUAGAGACCCGAGUAGUCC